rnacentral:RNase_P_RNA from 3 species
GAAGCUGACCAGACAGUCGCCGCUUCGUCGUCGUCCUUUCGGGGAGACGGGCGGAGGGGAGGAAAGUCCGGGCUCCAUAGGGCAGGGUGCCAGGUAACGCCUGGGGGGGGAACCCACGACCAGUGCAACAGAGAGCAAACCGCCGAUGGCCCACGUAAGUGGGAUCAGGUAAGGGUGAAAGGGUGCGGUAAGAGCGCACCGCGCGGCUGGUAACAGUCCGUGGCACGGUAAACUCCACCCGGAGCAAGGCCAAAUAGGGGUUCAUAAGGUACGGCCCGUACUGAACCCGGGUAGGCUGCUUGAGCCAGUGAGCGAUUGCUGGCCUAGAUGAAUGACUGUCCACGACAGAACCCGGCUUAUCGGUCAGUUUCACUU